GCCAAUCCAGCGGGUUCUGCCGGUCCUCGGCCGUGCGUCUGGGGUCUGGAUUCCCGGCUCCACUCGCCGUGAGCGCGCGUGUCAGCCGACUCGCCCCGGACCGCAUGGUGCAGCUCCCGCAGGGCCGCAGCCGCGGGUCGUCGCUGAUUGCCAGCUCCGCGCCCACUGCACCGCUGCGCGGCCGCCUAGGGCUCAUUGCGCGGAAGUCGGCCUGGUCCCUCCCCUGGGCUGGAUGGGCCCGCUCCUCCCGAGCGGUCGUGCUCUGAGUUGAAUGCGAUAGAGGCUUCUGGGCGCGUCGCGGGCUAGGUCCAGGAGCUGUGAUCCUCUCCGAGGUCUCAGUGUGCCCGCAGCGCCCCCUGCAGUGCGUCUCCUGCAAGGGGCCCGGAACACAUUCCUGUCCCCGCCAGGCCUGGAGGCCCGAGCGCCUGCUUUUCAUCCACUCUGCCCACCCGCCUCUGCGGUCGGCUGCCUUGGGCGCUGGCCUUAGCAGUUCUGAGUUUGAAUUCAAUCGCCAAUACACAGAAAGCCACACAAAUGUGAAGAUUUGUGAAUUAUUAUCAAAUGAACACCUUUGUAACCACUACCCAAGCCAAGAAACAGUACUUUCCCCCAGAAUACCUUACCCGUGCUCCUUCCCGAUUUCACUCGACUCCCUCCUUCCCAAAGUAGCCACUCUCCUGCCUUUCAUAGUAAUUACUUACCCGAGUUUUUAAAAAAUUGUUGUCACCCAAGUUCGCCUCUCUAGAGGCUAUAAAUUAGACUUGCUCAUUUUGUUAAUAUAUUUUAAGUCUCUUUAAUUUGUAGUUUCUUUCUCCAUCACUUUCUUUUCCUUGCAAUGUAUCCUUGGAAGAAUCUGAAGAGAUUUCUAGUCUGGAUUUCACUGAUUGCAUUCUCCUGGUGCAGUUCAACACAUCUCCCUGUUUUCUGCAUUUCCUGCAAAUUGACAGCUGGAUCCAAAGGCUUGAUCAGACUCAGGUUCAAGAUUUUUGGUGAGACUCCAGGUGGUGGAGUGCUGUUUUGUCAGGAGGCACAUAAUGUCUGGUUGUCUCUAUUUUUUGAGAUCUGAGGAGAGACGAUGUCCAAUGCUUACAUUCAUUAAUUCACUGGGGGAUGAAAAUGGUGAUAUACUAAUUAUAUAAUUUAUUUUUCAUUUAUCAUCUGGGUUGAUUUUAUAAAGAGACUCUUCUCCUCAUCUGCUAUUUGGUUACCCAGUGGAACCGUUCACAGAGGAAAGGCGGGCCCUGGUAAGCAUCAUUCUACUCCAUGCCUCCGUAAGAUCCACUUUUUUAGCUCCCACAUUUGAGUGAGAACAUGUGAUAUUUGUAUUUUUGUACCUGUUUAUUUCACUCAACAUAAUGAACUCCAGCUCCAUCCAUGUUGCUACAAAUGAAAGGAUAUUAUUCUGUUUUAUGGCCAAAUAAUGUUUCUUUGUGUAUAUAUACCACAUUUUCCUUAUCCAUUCAUUCAUUGGUGGAUUCUUAGGUUGAUUUCACUUCUUGACUAAUAUGAACAGUGCUGUAAUAAACAUGGGAGUGCAGAUAGUUCUUAGGUUUACUGAUUUCCUGUCUUUUGGAUAUAUCCAGCAGUGGGAUUGCUAGAUCAUAUGGUAGUUCUACUUUUAGUUUUUUGAAGCGCCUCCAUACUGUUGUUCAUAGUGGCUGUCCUAGUUUAUAUUCCCACUAACAGUGUAUGAGUGUUCCCCUUUCUCCGAAUCCUUGCCAACGUCUGUUAUUUUUUGUCUUUUUGAUAAUAGCCGUUCUAACUUGGGUGAGAUGGUAUCUCAUCAUGGUUUGAUUUGCAUUUCCUUGAUGAUUAGUGAUAUUGAACAUUUUUUCAUAUACCUGCUGACCGUUUGUAUGCCUUCUUUUGGGAAAUGUCUAUUCAGGUCUUUUGUUCAUUUUAAAAAUGAAGUUAUUUGUUUAAAAAGGAUACUUUGAAUCCAGGCACAGUGGCUCACACCUGUAAUCUCAGCACUUUGGGAGGCUGAAGCGGGCGGAUCACUUGAGGUCAGGAGUUCAAGACCAGCCUGGCCAACAUGGGGGAAAUCCCAUCUCUACUAAAAAUACAAAAAUUAGCCGGGUGUAGUGGUGGGCGCCUGUAAUCCCAGCUACCUGGGAGGCUGAGGCAGGAGAAUCUCUUGAACUUGGGAGGUGGAGGUUGCAGUGAGUUGAGAUCACACCACUGCACUCCAGCUUGGGUGGCAGAAAGAAACUCCAUCUCAAAUAAAUAAAAUAUAGGCUGGGUGUGGUGGCUCAUGCUGUAAUCCCAGCACUUUGGGAGGCCGAGGUGGGCAGAUUGCUUGAGCCCAGGAAUUUGAGGCCAGCCUGAGCAACGUGGCAAAAUCCCAUCUCUACAAAAAUAAUAAUAAAAAAAAUUAGCUGGGCAUGGUGGUAUGCACCUGUAGUCAGUGCCAGCUACUCCAGAGGCUGAGGUGGGAGGCUCACUUGAGCCUGCAAGGUAGAGGCUGACAGAGAGAGACUUUCUCUCAACAACAAUAACAACAAAAUAU
rnacentral:lncRNA from 1 species